ensembl:lncRNA MCM3AP-AS1 MCM3AP antisense RNA 1
CCGGGAGCCCGGCCUCGUGCGCCGCGCUUUGAGGACUUCCUAAAGCCAGUCCAGGAGCACAGUUUUUACCUGUUCAGUGGCACAUAUCUGUGAUUGAAACUCUGUUUUUGCAUCUUUAACCACUGAAGGAAGAAUGCAGCAGACUGCUCGACAAACACUGCGCCAAGAGCUCCUCAGCAGAAGCUCCUCGCAUCAGAUCCUCUGUGCUGGGAAUCCUCCCCUCUUGAGCACACUCUGUGCUCCUCUUCCAGUUACGGUGCAUGUGAAGCAAUGGUAUGGGAAAAUUGUUUGCAGAAGGAUGAAAAGGCUUUAUUGCCAAACUGUAAGUACAUGAUUUGAAAUGUUUAUGGUCAAGAGAAAAUAUUUCUACAGCAUCAUGUAAAGCAUGUAGAUACAUUUGCACAUGUGCAUUAACAUGUAAGAACAUGUGCCUCAGACACAUGUGCCCUCCUGGAACAGCUCAUGCUGGCCCCAUGCCUGCUUCCAAGCUUCCAUCAAGUCAGGGAGUGGAGCAAAGAGGGAAGGCAGCCCCUGCACUGUAGGGACCCUUAUGCACAGAGGCAUUGAGACUGCCUGUUCCUCUUGGAAGCUUCUGCUCUCAAGAGGCAGCUAGGUUUUUGGAGCUUCUCUGCUUCAUGUCUUGCUUCCCACCCUAGGGUUCCAGAUUCUGUUCUUCCCUAGUAUUGGCAAGGUUUUUUAUAGAUAGCUCUUGGAUACAUUUGGAAGUAAUGUUUACAAAUGGUGAGAGAGAAGGCAUCUGACAUUUUUUUCUAAACACAUGCCAAUGUUUGUCUUUUCCCCACUAAUUUCAAUAAUUUGGCCUAACACUUUUGUCACAUAUUCUGACUCUUUAUUCUGAUCCAUUUAUCUACUCUGGCAUCCCCACAUGGUUUUAAGUACUGGAGCUUUACUGUAUGUCUUGGUAUCAGGCCAAGCAAACCAUGUUAGUCUUAUUUAAAACUUUCUCAGCAAUUGAUGCAUAUUUGUUUAUCCUGAUGAAUUUUAGAACUUACCAGUACUGACAUCUUCACAGCAUUGUAUCCUGUCAACAACCUAGUCUGAACCUCAAUGGUUCAGGUUUCCUUUGCACAUACAGGCCCUGAGAACUCAUAUGUUAAUGAGAAAGACAUUCCGGGAAACCAGGAGGUGAGGAGACCAAGGAUUAGGCUCCACUCCUAUUAUGAAGAUGAACAGUUUUUAGAGUAUCAUGGAGUUGGAGAAGGUACUUCAAGGAUCUCUAUGGGGAACAAGAAGGAACAGCAAAGUUCCACCAUCCUGUGCCCUUUCUGUUCAGGUUUAUUGUUGUGAAUGAGAAUUUUUUUUUUUUUAACAUGUUGUGGAUCUAUCUAUCUGAUCACCUUAUUGAACUGAGAAUGGUUCUAUGGACUUGACUUUUCUUGGACUGACAACUGUACUGUCUGGAAAUGACAGUUUCUCCUUCCUUUCAGUAUUUGUGCCUGUCUAUCCCACAUCCCUGUACUGGUCAGGAUUUCCAGGACAAUAGUGAAUAAUAGUCGGGACAACAGGCUGGUUCUGAUUCCACUGUUCCUAACAUUCUACCAAGAAGCAUGUUUUUUUUCUAUUUUGGUAGUUUUAUGUUAGGUAGCCUUAUCAAGUUAGGACUUUUUUUUUUUUUAACCCAAGCUAAAGAAAGUACCCAAAAUAAAGAAAUUUUAUCAGGAACAGGUAUAAAUUUUAAGAAACGUAUUUCAACGCCUGCUAAAAUUACCACUUAUUUUUCUAUUAUGGCAACAAAUUACAUUAAUAGAUUUUCACUGUUAUUGUUUAUCCUGGGAGAAAGCAUACUUGUGAACUUUUUUAGGUACUGUGCUUUGGAACCAAAUUUGGAAGUGAGAUGAAAUGUCAGCUGUACUCUCCUGGUUAGGUAUGAUUUCAGGGUCAGGUAUGCCUGAUAAAUGAAGUGAGAUGCUUUAACUUUGUUCUAGAAUAGUUUCUACUGCAUGGGAAUGAUCUGUUCCUUGAGGAUUUGUCACAGUCUGCCCACAGUGGACUGGAUUUGGCAUGUAGGAUGUUAAUUUCUAUUUACUUUGCAAGAAAAAUACAGUUUAGCAAGCAACAGAAACAUACUGAACAUGAACCUCACCGUCCCUCUCUCAGCUGUAGCUCCUUCUGCGUCUGCAACCUGGCUUGUUCCCACGACAAAGGAACAUCAUAUUUUUUCAAAUCGUUUUUAAAAAAAUACACACAUAUCUGACCAUCUUCACUCAGCGCCUCUGAGAAAACAAUACAAAAACAGAUAAAGAGGCCAGCCUGGCCAACCCUGUCUCAAAAAAAAAAAAAA